CGGAGAGCGCCACGUACACGUACUCGACGUUCAUCAGCAGCCUGGGCGGCGCUCUCUCCCUCUACCUCGGUAUUGCUCUCAUCCUGCUGGUAGAGUUGGUGGAGCUGCUGGUUUUCCUGGCGUGGGACACGGCCCGCUUCAUGUGCGGCUACUACCCCCUCGACGGCCACUCUAGCAGCCAGGUGGUGCCCGCGGAGAAGCGAGCCGUGCGGGUUGUUUUCACAGCCCCGGAGAACAAGUUUGCAAACAAGCUACACACCAGCCAUCAAAUGAUGGAGACGCCUGCAACUCAAAUAGAAUAACUCUGACCAGGACCUUAUCCGAUCCAAUUAUAAGACAAUCUACCUCGUAUUGGGCAGUACGGAUAAUUUUGGUGAAACGAAAAUAGCUCGUAAGGUGAUGACAACUGUGCCUUAUUCAAGCUCAGAUUAUUGUAAACUAAUGUUCAACACAAUCGUUACUUCGCACAUGUCUUGCGGCUUUCAAUAUUGGGUUGACGCCAUGCCUCAACUAUAUGUCUUGUGCCUAGGACACGUUAUACUACACGGAGCAGACA